AGACAUGAACACACAUAUCACACACACACACACACACACACACAUUCAUGUUCUCUUUGGAGAGUACGCCCCAGGCUGGCUUAAACUCACUAUAUAGCCAAGAGUGCCUGUAAAUUUCUGACCUCCCGUUUCCGCCCCCCAAAUACUGGGGUUAUAGUUGUACACCAGCACACCCGGUUUGUGUUCUGUUGAGGAUUGGACCCAGGGCUUUGUGCAUGUUAGGUAAGUACUCUACCAAUUGAACUGCAUCCCUGGCCCUCAAGAGAAUUCUUUAACACCAGCUAACAGUAUGUGAUGAGGUCACUUUUGAUCUCAGGUCUCUGGAGAGUCAGUAAGCGACCAUUAUAUCAGAACUGGUGACAGUUCUAUGUCAAGAUUCAGCGUGGAUAGGCAGAAAAUGACAAUUACAACGGGAGGUGUGAUGGCCUGUCCUGAGAUAAGUGCAGGGUUUACAGACCCCCUUUGUCACUCACCGUAAGGUGAGCUUUUUCAAACUGUCAAGGCGAAGAAAAUAACCUCCCUGUCUCAUGGAUGUUCAGUUGCUGCCUUUUCAGCUCAAGUAGGAGCCACCAACUAGCUCAGGUUCCAGGGUCUGGUGUGAGUCUUUAAUAAUGGAAGUUAUAAGGCCUAGCAUUUAUCAAAAUCCCCCAUACUUUCAAUCAAAUUGUGCUAAAGAAAAUGUUAAAUUAGACCUAACACAUUAAGUCCAUGCCAUGGGAAGUUUUUGAACUAAUGUUUGAGUGAUGCAGGUGUUUAUAAACUUGAAGGGACUUUAAUGCUGGCAAAGGGGGAGCUCUUUGUACAGUUGUUAUGGGAUGAUAAAGUGUGUCUAGGGCAAAGCGCAACAUUUGGUCAAAUCAGUUACCUGUAACAAAAUGUCAAAAGUACUUUGGGGCUGCUUGAACUCCUGCGGCCUGUGACAGUCACUUGGUACAGUGAAUGGUGGUUAAAAUAAUCAGUGUAACACACCCAGGUUCAGGACCAUUUUGUGAUGGCUCCCAUGCCAGGUGUAUAGACAAGAAUUCAUAGAAAUUCACCCUGACAUGGGCUGUUUUCUGGACAGAAGCAGAUGCAUAAUUUGCAAUGACCAGUGCAAAAAUAAAAUGCAGUUCUCCUUUCUUAAAAAAAAAAUUAGUAGGUCUUUCAUGAUGACAAGGCAGGAGAUUAAAGCAACUGUUUUGUUGUUGUACAAGGACUCAGCUAUGUAACUCAGCUUGGGCUGGAAUUCCUCUUGCUUUAGUUUUCUGAGUUUGCAGGCACACACCAUUAAAAUCUCUUCUUGACUUG
rnacentral:lncRNA from 1 species